CCAGCUAGUUUAGAUGGUGUUAUCUCUAUCUCCAGGUAGUUAAAGUAGGUAGAACAUCAACUUUGUUCAUCACCAGCUAGUUUAGAUGGUAAUAUCUCUAUCUCCAGAUAGUUAAAGUAGACAGAACAUCAACUUUGUUCGUCACCAGCUAGUUUAGAUGGUGUUAUCUCUAUCUCCAGGUAGUUAAAGUAGACAGAACAUCAACUUUGUUCAUCACCAGCUAGUUUAGAUGGUGUUAUCUCUAUCUCCAGGUAGUUAAACUAGAUAUCUACCUGAUUCAGAGUGUGUAUUGUUGUGGGCUGUUUCAAAUAUGAUUUAAUUGUUAUUAUGGUAUUUGUAUACAUGUGUUCUGCAGGUCUCCAAGUAUUUUCUCUUUAUGUCUAUUUAGAACAUAUUUCUAUGGUAACCUUCAUAAUAUUGUUUUACCUGAUAAUAUUACAUUCCAUAAGUUUUGGGCAUAGGAUUAUCUAUAUGUUUUUAUUGUAAUUAAUACUUAUUUAGUACUAAUAGCUAUUUGGAAAGUUGAUAGAACAAGACAGCUAUCUUUGGUAAUACUAUUGGUUGAUAAAAGGUACAGAGUGUAAUAUGUAUUAUGUUAGUAAAGGCAAGAUGUCUAGUACAUAUAAAGUUAGUAAACUCAGGAUGUCUGGUAUGUACCAGGUUUAUAAAACAGGUGUAUGGUACAUGUGAAGUUAUUAAAGGCAGGAUGUCUGGUACAUGUGAAGUUAUUAAAGUUAGGAUGUCUGGUACAUGUGAAGUUAGUAAACUCAGGAUGUCUGGUAUGUGCCAGGUUUAUAGAACAGAGGAUGUCUGGUAUGUACCAGGUUUAUAAAACAGGUGUAUGGUACAUGUGAAGUUAUUAAAGGCAGGAUGUCUGGUACAUGUGAAGUUAUUAAAGGCAGGAUGUCUGGUACAUGUGAAGUUAGUAAACUCAGGAUGUCUGGUAUGUGCCAGGUUUAUAGAACAGAGGAUGUCUGGUAUGUACCAGGUUUAUAGAACAGAGGAUGUCUGGUAUGUACCAGGUUUAUAAAACAGGUGUAUGGUGCAUGUGAAGUUAUUAAAGGCAGGAUGUCUGGUAUAUGUGAAGUUAGUAAAGGCAGGAUGUCUGGUACAUGUGAAGUUUGUAAAGUUAGGAUGUCUGGUAUGUACCAGGUUUAUAAAACAGGUGUAUGGUACAUGUGAAGUUAGUAAAGUUAGGAUGUCUGGUACAUGUGAAGUUAGUAAAAGCAGGUUUUCUGAUAUUCAAGCUUAAAGUAUUUUAUUUGUAUAGUAUAAUGUAUAUACAUAUAUCCACACAAACAUCAGUAAACUUGCCCCAUCUUUACUAACAUGAUUUCAUGUUAACAUCAUCCAGAAUUCAUCUGAUUUUUAAAACUUCCACAUUUAUUUACUGUUCACCAUGUUAGUCUCGUGAGAUCAUUUUUAUAUAAUUUGUGCAUAAAACACAAUUAUAACACACAACAAUUUUAAAAAAAGUUUUGUAUUUGAAAGCUAAAAAAAAAUAAUUUCAAUUUUUUUUCCUCUCGCUAAUAGAGAUUUGCUGUUAAUUUUUAAAUGAAAUUUGACAUCAUAUGUUAAUAGUUCGGUAAAUUAUGUGGUAGUGUUUGAAAAACUUGUUAUAUUAGCAGAGGCAUUGGAACAUGUUUGACUUGUAUAGCAACUGUAAAUUGUAUUGUUAUACUAAUUUUCUGGGGGGGGGACAUGCCCACAGACUCCUCAUAGAUUGAGCAGCCUUUGGCAGCUGCUCCUUAUAAUUUCAAUCUCUCAAUGUAAAAUCCACAUGUCCAGCCAAGCAACCCCACUUUGCAACUCCUUUCUACACCACUGAUUGAGGAAUGUAAAUAGAUCAUAUCCUAAUAGAAAUAACCAGUUUUAGUGUUAUCGUUGCUCAAUAUCUGAUUAGGUUUAGUCUAUAAUAUAAUGUUUUAAUGCAAGUUUUGAAUUUUUUCUUUGAGCAAGAAUGUUUAUGUAUCUUCGUUUAAACUUAAAUGAAAAUAUUAUACAGUUUUACAUUAGAUGUGAUGUAUAAAUGAUCUUCACUUGAAAAAAUGUGUUCAUUAAAGAAACCGUCCAUAUAUUUUCACGCGCAAUGCCAGAAUUAUGGUUGUUCUACAGAAGUAAAACACACCUCAGAGGGCUUGUCUGACUUAUAGUAUUUCACAUUAUAUACUGUAUUUUUAUUAUGUAAAAACAGGUAUAUUAAAAUAAAUAUAUACUAUUAGAA